UUCCUUUGGUAUUUUUUGUGCUGUUGC
rnacentral:sRNA from 1 species